rnacentral:lncRNA from 1 species
AGUAGAGAGUGGUGGAGAGAAAGAGAGAAGGUCAGAGAGGUCAGUAAAGUCCAGACCAUGCACAGCUUCAGGUCAGGUGAAGAAUGGGAAGCUAUUGGCAGAUUUUAAGCAGGGGAAUGUCAUGAUCUAAUGUUUUCAAAAGACCACUCUAGCAGGAGUGUGGUGGAGUGAGAGUGGGUGUGGGAAGAGCAGUUAUAUGACCAUUUAAGCGAUCUUAGCAGACAUGAUGGCAGCUCUGCAAUGAAGACCAGGAGAUGAACACGGGAUACAUUUUGGAGUUGUAGCUGAUCGGGCAUACUGAUGGAUUAGAGGGGGGUAGCAGUAAGCAAGUGGUUGAUGCUGUUAGCUGGGACUCAACUGGGGCUAUCUGCCAGAACUCACACAUGUGGUCUCCUCAUGUGGCAUGGACUCCCUCACAUCAUGGCAACCUAAGACUUCUUAUAUAGCAGCUCCAGGCUCCAAAGGGGUCUUUGAAGAGUUCACCCAGGAGCUUCAAAAUGAGGAACAGUGCUUGCAAUUUCCUUGAAUACUAAGAACAUCCAGCUAUUUGUAGACAGAUAAAAGAGAGCAGCCCCCAGAGGUGCUGAUCCAGCCAAGAUAGCUCAUCCAGUUCUCAACAGGACUAAAGGACUUAUCCUAUGCCUAGUUUUUCACUCCCCUCAGAGGGUCAGGUGAACUGGGGAGCAAGAGGAACUGGCGCCUUUCCCUACUUCUCUUUCAAUUCGUUUAUUGAGGUAACUGCACUGGGGAAAAGAUUAUAUCCAAAACUUUUGGAUUGCUCGACAUUAGAUGUUAACUCUGAGCUAAUACUAAUUUCCAGGGACCCAGAAUGAACUUAUCAAUGGAUAUCAGGACUGAACAGAAGUAGCUGUGCAACCACCACUAGAAGCCUUCUGAGCGUGUUACUGAAGAGGAUGAGGCAGGAGGCUUCCAGAGGCAACAGCCAAGACUAAGCCAUCAACCACAGGGCCAAACCCAGUAAAAAAGAAAAAUAAGAACACUUCCACUUAAAGAACUGCUGCAAUUAUACUGUUCCUUUUUUUUUUCCAUUAACAUGUCUUUCCUUUUAUGAUGGCGAGAGUUAAUAUUAAGGUGUGCAUAUAUGUUUGUUAAACGAUCUCAUUUUGCAAUUAAAAGUUUGCACUUAUAUUAA